ensembl:ncRNA M70.11 ncRNA
AAAUACAGUUUUUAGAUUUCAAAUAUAUUGAUUUUCAGCCAAAUUAGAGCGAUUUGAAGUUGGUGGCCUAGGAAUCCAAAUUUCGAGGUUUCUAGGACACCAAAAAUUAA